ensembl:miRNA
GACCCACAGAGGACAGUGGAGUGUGAGCUGGAAGGAGUGGGCCUGGCUCAUGUGUCUGUCUCUUCCAG